rnacentral:rRNA from 1 species
CCUACGGGUGGCAGCAGUAGGGAAUCUUUCACAAUGGGCGAAAGCCUGAUGCAGCAACGCCGCGUGCACGAUGAAGGCCUUCGGGUCGUAAACUGCUUUUAUAAGGGAGGAUUAUGACGGUAACUUAUGAGUAAGCAUCGGCUAACUCCGUGCCAGCAGCCGCGGUAAUACGGAGGGUUCGAGCGUUAUCCGGAUUUAUUGGGCUUAAAGGGUGCGUAGGUGGGUUGUUAAGUCAGUUGUGAAAGUGUGCGGCUCAAACGUAAGAUAGCAAUUGAUACUGGCAGUCUUGAGUGCAGUAGAGGUAGGCGGAAUUCGUGGUGUAGCGGUGAAAUGCGUAGAUAUGACGAAGAACCCCGAUUGCGAAGGCAGCUUACUAAACUGUGACUGACAUUGAUGCACGAAAGCGUGGGUAGCAAACAGGAUUAGAUACCCUUGUAGUC